GUAUACACUACCUAACUAAUAAGCUAGGUCAGCUAACUACUGGCUACUGGGUAUACACUACCUAACUAAUUAGCUGGGUCAGCUUGCUACUGAGUAUACCUCUACUAUAACCCUGUCUAUAAUAACCCUGCAUAUAACCCUGUCUAUAACAUAUAUCCUGUCCCUAGCCUAGAACCUCUAUAACCCUGCCUAGAACCUCUAUAACCCUGCAUAUAACCCUGCAUAUAACCCUGCAUAUAACCCUGUCUAUAACCCUGUCUAUAACCCUGUCUAUAAUCCUGUCUAUAACCCUGUCUAUAACCCUGUCUAUAACCCUGUAUCCUAGCCCUAGCCUAAACCCCCUAUAACCCUGUCUAUAACUCUGUCUAUAACCCUGUCUAUAACCCUGUAUCCUAUCCCUAGCCUAAACCCUCUAUAACCCUGUCUAUAACCCUGUCUAUAACCCUGUAUCCUAUCCCUAGCCUAAAACCCCUAUAACCCUGUCUAUAAUUCUGUCUAUAACCUCGAUAACCCUGCCUAUAACCCUGUCUAUAACUCUGUCUAUAACCCUGUCUAUAACCCUGUAUCCUAUCCCUAGCCUAAACCCUCUAUAACCCUGUCUAUAACCCUGGUCUAUAACCCUGUCUAUAACCCUGUAUCCUAUCCCUAGCCUAAACCCUCUAUAACCCUGUCUAUAACCCUGUCUAUAACCCUGUCUAUAACCCUGUAUCCUAUUCCUAGCCUAAACCCUCUAUAACCCUGUCUAUAACCCUGUCUAUAACCCUGCCUAUAACCCUGUAUCCUAUCCCUAGCCUAAACCCUCUAUAACCCUGUCUAUAACCCUGUCUAUAACCCUGUCUAUAACCCUGUCUAUAACCAGUCUAUAACCAGUCUAUAACCCAUCUAUAACCCAGUCUAUAACCAGUCUAUAACCAGUCUAUAACCAGUCUAUAACCCUCUGCCCAGGUGAGCCCGACAGGCCCCCUGGCUCAUGGACUACUAGCGUGCAUGUAAAUGCAUGAAAAAUAAAUAAAAUCAAACAUGAACUAUAACACUCUCCUAAUAACUAGAAUAAGAAAACAGGACUGUGUGUUCCGUGUGACCGAGUAGGUAGUUA
rnacentral:lncRNA from 1 species